UUUGUAUUUUCUUAUUCUCUCUCGGGCAAAGGGUAUCGCGCACAACUCAACCUCAGUUAAAUGGGUACCAUUUCUUGUUGCAGACUCCCUUACUGUCAUAACUUAGUCGUUGACAAUUUUGCCUCCCAAAAAUCCCUCUUUCUCAAGAAUCAAACUUGCAGAGUGAAAGCAUUCAGACCCUCCACGGCAUUAUCAUUGUCUUCCAUACCGAAUUCUCACCGAGUCAAAGCAUCUUCGACAGUUGUGAAUGAGGAACUGAAGGGUGAGUCGUCUGGUUUGGUGGGAGAGAAUGAUUUGCUUAUUGUUGGUCCCGGGGUUCUGGGUCGCUUAGUUGCUGAUAAAUGGAGGCAGGAACAUCCAGGGAGUCAAAUUUAUGGUCAGACAGUGACAACUGAUCAUCAUGAUGAAUUGAUCGAGAUGAGGAUUAAUCCAUCUUUGAAAGGGACUGAAGUGACUCAGAAGUUUCCAUAUGUGAUUUUUUGUGCUCCUCCAUCCCGAACUUCAGACUACCCUGGUGAUGUCAGGCUUGCUGUGACGAGUUGGAAUGGUGAAGGCUCUUUCUUGUUUACAUCAAGCUCUGCACCAUAUGACUGCUUUGACAAUGGAUCAUGUGAUGAGGAUAGUCCAAUUGUGCCAAUUGGGAGGAGUCCCCGGACAGAUGUUCUCCUAAAAGCUGAGAAAGUGGUGCUAGAAUUUGGUGGUUGUAUUGUCAGAUUGGCUGGACUUUAUAAAGCAGAUAGAGGUGCGCAUUUCUAUUGGUUACAGAAGGGGACUGUUGAAGUUCGCCCAGAUCACAUCCUGAAUUUGAUACACUAUGAGGAUGCAGCUUCCUUAUCAGUUGCGAUUUUGAAGAAAAAGCUUCGUGGUCAAAUUUUCUUGGGUUGUGAUAACCAUCCUUUAUCCAGGCAGGAAGUAAUGGACUUGGUUAGUAAAAGCGGGAAAUUCAGUCAACAGUUUGAGGGCUUUACAGGUACUAGCGAUCCUUUAGGUAAGAGAUUAAACAACUCAAAAACUCGAGAAGAGAUAGGGUGGGAGCCAAAAUAUCCCAGCUUUGCUCAAUUCCUUGGACUGUCUUGAGUAAUUUUGCAAUGAUCUUCAAUCUUGGGAGUGAAUUAAAUCAAACUGGAAAGAAUUGGUUUAGGUGGCAUAGAGAAUGCUUUGCCAUGGAACUGAUGGAUAUUUUCUUGUUGUGAAAAUACUUUUACCCAUAUGGUGACUUGACCUGCAAAAAAUAGUAAUACCAAGUGAGUUCCUUUCUGUAUAGACAGCUGAACUGCUCCCGUUUGCAUCUUAAUACAUGGGGAUUGAUGGUUAGAUGCAUUCUUUAAUAUGUAAAAUGCAAAUCAAGCAAAUGAAACAUGGCCAACUGUGUUUAGAUCCAACAUUGGGAUGCUUAACAAUUACAGAAUCUCGCUCAGGCAAUCGAUCUUUUUAAUGUUAGUCUGGUGAAGAAGCUACUGAUGUGAUGAAAAUUUCACAUGACAAAUGAGCAACAAGGGCAUGUGAUAUGUUGGCAUUAUGACCAUGUCACGCCUAUCGAUCAUACUUUUGGAUUUGGCACCCAUCCUUAUCAGAUCAUCAUCAUCCAUUAGCCGACAUUGUAAUAAAUAAUGUCAAGUGGCCGUCUUGUUUAAUAUUUGUACUUCGAUUUAUAACAACCCUUCACUGAACUUGGGAAGAGACAAUGUAUGAGAAGGAAAAAAAGAAAGAGAAAUAUUAUCCUAUUCCUUGAAAGAGUCCAACUAAACCAAAUCCGCUUAGAAAAAUCUCCAGUUGAGUUGACUUUUGUUUGAGAUGGCAUCUUCUAUUCUCUUUAUAUAUCAUUCUUCCUUUUGAAGACAAAAAACAAAAGCCUUUGGGAAACUGGUGUUGAUUCGUAAUGGGAAAGGUCUGCUGUGAAGAGUCUGAUGAUGGUAAUGGUGGUUUCGAUCCAAUGGGAUUACUCAUUGCGCUUGUCAUAGCUCUUGUGCUCAUGGUCAUCUGCUCACCACAGCCAAGGCCAGCUGCUUACGCCGUAUACCGCUGCCGAUGAUGAGCUACUCCAUCUCUGCUUUUCUCCCUGUGCCUUUAAAGUUUCUUGUGGCUGAAUAUAAUUGGUUCUUUUCGUUACUUGACAUACUUUUUCUUGUUUAUAUAAAGAAACUGUUGUUCAGUGUUAUUUCUUAUUGUCUUUCCAAUUUCAUGUUCAAUAAUAUCAUUCUCUAAUUAGUCUUAA